rnacentral:snoRNA from 1 species
GCCUCUUACAAAGGCGCACUUGCAUUGGUCUGCUUGCACGUGCGUAAGAACAAGAGGAAUAUUAAAAUGAAUGGCGAGAAAAUUUAACUUGUAUCUGUCUGCAGCUGCAGAACACUCCUCACCAUUC